rnacentral:rRNA from 1 species
GACGAACGCUGGCGGCGUGCUUAACACAUGCAAGUCGACCGAAAGGGCCCUGUUUUGUGGGGUUCCUCGAGGGCCCACGGGGUGAGUACCCCUUGGGUACCCUCCCUUGACCUUGGGGAUAACUUCAGAAACUUGGGCCUAUUCCGGACAAGGAGUUCUGCCGCCUGGGUGGGGUUGGGAAGGUUUCGCUGGUUGGGGAUGGACUCGCGGCUAAUCAGCUUGUUGGUGGGGUAGUGGUUUACCAGGGCUUUGACGGGUAGCCGGCCUGAGAGGUUGACCGGCCACAUUGGGACUGAGAUACGGCCCAGACUCCUACGGGAGGCAGCAGUGGGGAAUAUUGCACAAUGGGCGGAAGCCUGAUGCAGCAACGCCGCGUGCGGGAUGACGGCCUUCGGGUUGUAAACCGCUUUCGCCUGUGACGAAGCGUGAGUGACGGUAAUGGGUAAAGAAGCACCGGCUAACUACGUG